AUACCAUGUUGAGGACAACUUACACAAAGGCGCUUGAAGCGCUCCCAAUACUCGUAUAAAGACUCCAUGUCCUUCUGCUUGAUCCCACAGAUCUCUCUUCUAAGCCC